rnacentral:tRNA from 1 species
GUGGGUAGAGCUCAGUGAGAGUGUGUGCUUAGCAUGCACAAGGUCCUGGGUUCAAUCCCCAGUGCCUCCA